rnacentral:rRNA from 14 species
GCAAUAACAGGUCUGUGAUGCCCUUAGAUGUUCUGGGCCGCACGCGCGCUACACUGACUGGUGCAACGAGUUUAUAACCUUGGUGGAUGUGCCUGGGUAAUCUUUGAACGCCAGUCGUGAUGGGGAUAGAUUCUUGCAAUUAUUAAUCUUCAACGAGGAAUUCCUAGUAAACGCAAGUCAUCAGCUUGCAUUGAUUACGUCCCUGCCCUUUGUACACACCGCCCGUCGCACCUACCGAUUGAAUGUCUCGGUGAAAUCCCCGGAC